rnacentral:rRNA from 1 species
AACCUGCCCAUAAGCGGGGGAUAACACCUGGAAACAGAUGCUAAUACCGCAUAACAACUUGGACCGCAUGGUCCGAGUUUGAAAGAUGGCUUCGGCUAUCACUUUUGGAUGGUCCCGCGGCGUAUUAGCUAGAUGGUGGGGUAACGGCUCACCAUGGCAAUGAUACGUAGCCGACCUGAGAGGGUAAUCGGCCACAUUGGGACUGAGACACGGCCCAAACUCCUACGGGAGGCAGCAGUAGGGAAUCUUCCACAAUGGACGAAAGUCUGAUGGAGCAACGCCGCGUGAGUGAAGAAGGGUUUCGGCUCGUAAAACUCUGUUGUUAAAGAAGAACAUAUCUGAGAGUAACUGUUCAGGUAUUGACGGUAUUUAACCAGAAAGCCACGGCUAACUACGUGCCAGCAGCCGCGGUAAUACGUAGGUGGCAAGCGUUGUCCGGAUUUAUUGGGCGUAAAGCGAGCGCAGGCGGUUUUUUAAGUCUGAUGUGAAAGCCUUCGGCUCAACCGAAGAAGUGCAUCGGAAACUGGGAAACUUGAGUGCAGAAGAGGACAGUGGAACUCCAUGUGUAGCGGUGAAAUGCGUAGAUAUAUGGAAGAACACCAGUGGCGAAGGCGGCUGUCUGGUCUGUAACUGACGCUGAGGCUCGAAAGUAUGGGUAGCAAACAGGAUUAGAUACCCUGGUAGUCCAUACCGUAAACGAUGAAUGCUAAGUGUUGGAGGGUUUCCGCCCUUCAGUGCUGCAGCUAACGCAUUAAGCAUUCCGCCUGGGGAGUACGGCCGCAAGGCUGAAACUCAAAGGAAUUGACGGGGGCCCGCACAAGCGGUGGAGCAUGUGGUUUAAUUCGAAGCUACGCGAAGAACCUUACCAGGUCUUGACAUACUAUGCAAAUCUAAGAGAUUAGACGUUCCCUUCGGGGACAUGGAUACAGGUGGUGCAUGGUUGUCGUCAGCUCGUGUCGUGAGAUGUUGGGUUAAGUCCCGCAACGAGCGCAACCCUUAUUAUCAGUUGCCAGCAUUAAGUUGGGCACUCUGGUGAGACUGCCGGUGACAAACCGGAGGAAGGUGGGGAUGACGUCAAAUCAUCAUGCCCCUUAUGACCUGGGCUACACACGUGCUACAAUGGAUGGUACAACGAGUUGCGAACUCGCGAGAGUAAGCUAAUCUCUUAAAGCCAUUCUCAGUUCGGAUUGUAGGCUGCAACUCGCCUACAUGAAGUCGGAAUCGCUAGUAAUCGCGGAUC